rnacentral:lncRNA from 1 species
UUUACUAAUUUGUUAACUCCUCUUUCUAGCCACACAAACGUGAUUUGUUGGACUUAUCUUCUGCCAACAACAAGAGGAAAAUUGUCUUCUGCUUACAACAAGAGAAACACUUUCCACCUCUAGAAAAUGGGAACGAAAAUGUAAACUAAAUGGAAGCCAAGAAGAAUGCAACCUUGUUGUUAAUUUUCCAUCUCAUGAGAUCCAAGAUAGAGAAAUGCAUCCAAGUUGAAUGACUUCAGCAGCCCUUUGUACACCUUGCAAGUGUGAAAGAUUCAUGAAGGAACACUCUAACUCAUGGUAUCAUCAAGGUUUCUUGUAUGAGCACAUCUAGAAAGUCUUUCAUCAAAAGAUGCAAUAGAAUAUUCAAGCUUACAGAUUUCGGCGAUUCAUGCAGGAACAAUGGUAUUUUUUACUAGAUCUGGUAUUUUAUUUUUCUCUUCGUCCAUGACCAUUGUUGCUGGCAAUCUGUGAAGGUUAAAAUUCAAGUUCAGUGGAGAAAUUGAUGAAAGUGGGGGGGAAUGGAUGAUGUUGAAUAAAAAAGAUAUGAUGAAGAAGCUAUGAACAAAGCUAUGAUGAAGAAGAAGUUAUCAUGUGAACACACAAAGUUAGAUCUGUUUCACGAGCUUUUUUGAUUGUUUUUCAUUUCUUGUAGUGUUACUAUACUUGCAAAUGAAGGAACCAUAGACUUGUUAUGGUGCACCUUAGUGUAGUUUAUUCCUUCUUUAUCCGUAACAAAUUCCAUAUAUGAGAUUAUGAGAUAUUUUGUUGUUUUUUUUCUUUCAAAUAUUCAUUUCAUUUUUUUAAAGUGAAUAAAUAAAAGUUCCAGAGUUCGAAC